GACGAACGCUGGCGGCGUGCUUAACACAUGCAAGUCGAACGGAAAGGCCCCCAUCUUGGUGGGGGUGCUCGAGUGGCGAACGGGUGAGUAACACGUGGGUGAUCUGCCCUGUACUUCGGGAUAAGCUUGGGAAACUGGGUCUAAUACCGGAUAGGACCAUGGUUUAGUGUCUCAUGGUGGAAAGAUUAUUGUUUUGGUGCAGGAUGAGCUCGCGGCCUAUCAGCUUGUUGGUGGGGUAAUGGCCUACCAAGGCGUCGACGGGUAGCCGGCCUGAGAGGGUGGACGGGCACAUUGGGACUGAGAUACGGCCCAGACUCCUACGGGAGGCAGCAGUGGGGAAUAUUGCACAAUGGGCGCAAGCCUGAUGCAGCGACGCAGCGUGGGGGAUGACGGCCUUCGGGUUGUAAACUCCUUUCGUUAGGGACGAAGCCACGCUUUUUGGGUGUGAUGACGGUACCUUUGUGAAGAAGCACCGGCUAACUACGUG
rnacentral:rRNA from 1 species